rnacentral:rRNA from 1 species
ACUCAAAGGAAUUGACGGGGGCCCGCACAAGCGGUGGAGCAUGUUGCUUAAUUCGAUGCAACGCGAAGAACCUUAUCCAGGCCUUGACAUCCCCGGAAUCCCCUGGAAACAGGGGAGUGCCUUCGGGAACCGGGUGACAGGUGGUGCAUGGCUGUCGUCAGCUCGUGCCGUGAGGUGUUGGGUUAAGUCCCGCAACGAGCGCAACCCUCAUCGCCAGUUGCCAGCGCGUAAUGGCGGGAACUCUGGCGAAACUGCCCGAGUAAUCGGGAGGAAGGUGAGGAUGACGUCAAGUCCGCAUGCCCCUUAUGGUCUGGGCUGCAAACAUGCUACAAUGGGUGGUACAAACGGCAGGCUAACCCGCGAGGGUCCGCGAAUCCGAAAAAACCACCCCCAGUUCGGAUUGGAGUCUGCAACUCGACUCCAUGAAGUCGGAAUCGCUAGUAACCGCAGGUCAGCAAUACUGCGGUGAAUACGUUCCCGGGCCUUGUACACACCGCCCGU